UUACGGCCAUAUCACGUUGAAACACUUGUCUUUGUACGAUCACAGAGGUUAACCAAGGUCGAGGCUGGUCAGUACUGAAAUGAGUGACCACUUGGGAAUACCAGGU